GCACAGCUCGGGCGCGCAGUCCGGGGCUGGGCAGGCUGUAGUGGAGGAGGGUACGCUGUCCGAUCGGCGUGGUACUGUCGGCGGCCCAUCGGAGGAGAUGCGCCCCACGGAACUCCUGGAAGUGCUGGCGGAGCGGCAUGGGUGUCCCACUCUGUUCCUCAACCAAUUUCCUCACAAUCGCGAGCCGAAGUGUGGCGCUUUGGCAGUUUCGCAAGUUCUUUUGUCAGGAGAUGAGUGACUGAGGAUUGGGGGUCUUUGGAGCUCUUGGACCUGACGAACGAUUAAGUUUUUCUCCCUCCGGAGAGCCAAGAAGCUUCCAGCCUUCAGAUUUGAACCGGGACACUGGCUCUGCAGAUUUUGGACUUGCCAGCCUUCAUAACUGCGUGAGUCAAUUUUCCAUCUCUCUAUAUCUUUAUGUAAUAUCUCCUAUUUGUUCUGUUUCUCUGGAGAAUCCUGACUAGUAUAACAGGUAUUUCCCAAGACUCCCCAUCCUUGGAGGGCCCCAGACCCCUGAAAGGCUGUCAAAAGUACUGCUUAGGGCUGGGCACGGUGGCUCACAUCUGUAAUUCCAGCACUUUGGGAGGUCGAGGUGGGCGGAUCACCUGAGGUCAGGAGUUCAAGACCAGCCAAGCCAACAUGGUGAAACCCUGUAUCUACUGAAAAUACAAAAAUUAACUGGGCGUGGUGGCACACACCUAUAAUUCCCGUACUCCGGAGGCUGAGGAAGGAGAAUCUCUUGAACCCAGGAAAUGGAGGUUACAGUGAGCCGAGAUGGCACCACUGCACUCCAGCCUGGGUGACAGAGCAAGACUCCUUCUCAAAAAAAAGGUACUUCAUAGGCUCUCAGCCACCUGUUCUGGAAUCACCAAGUAGCCCUUGGGGUAAAACAGUCCUAUUGAUGGGCUCACUCUCUUUCAUACUCUGUUCUCUUGGACAUUGACCUGGUAGGUAUUUACUACCUCAUUAGUGCUCUCUUAUCUUUGAGUAGAUAUUUCGUAUAUUUUUUUUCCACUUUUCUAAUUAUCACUAAUGGGAGGGUUGUCUGUUGCCUCAGUGCUCCAUUAUUAGAAUCAUUCGGCAAGUAGCCAUUAAAAAAAAAAAACCAUUUGUCCAUUUCAGUUUGCUAAAUCUUAUUGCAUUUAAUUAUCUAUCUUUAACUCAUUAUUAUGUUGUUGUUUGCUUUACUGUACAUGUUAGUUGCAGGUUGGGGAGAAUAUCUAAUUCUCAUUCAAUAGAGUGCAUAUCAUUGUGUACUAUUGCAAAUGUAAUCACCAUGGAGUUCAUUAAGUGUUAAAUAAUUAGAUAAUUCAUGUUUAAAUGUUUAUAUUAUGCAGAAAUGUUUGGAAGAUUGUUUUAUAGACGUUUGAGAGGGUUUAGUGAUAUUUGAAGAAAGAAACUGGAGUUUCUGCACAGGCUGGGAAUACAUUCCUAUUUUCUCAUUUAAAAUAACUUCAUAUAGGCUUAUUUGAUCUGAGAAUUGUUUUCAAGAAUGAAUUAACCUGGGAGGAUCGUAGUUCUAAUUGUAGCAUAUAGCGUAUCUCUGUUUUGCAUGCUUAUAUCACAAAUGUAUUUGUAGGCCUCUUACCAUAUCACGAUCCCAAGAAAGAUGUUGACAAAAGCCUCGUAAUCCCCCACCUGGAGAGAAGUUAACCAAUAGAGGAGUGUCUCUAGGUAGAAAUUUAAAGUGGUAGAAAAUCGCAUGUCUAAUGGUUAUUUUUAUAGGAACCCUGAAUGAAAUAGCUGCUUUGCUCAUGAGCGUAACCAUUCUUGCUUGAUUCUUCUGCACCCGGACCUUAAGUGUGAGUAGGCCCAAGAAUAUUGGCCCAUCCACACCUGCCCUCUAGGUGAUCUCACAAGCUCUUGGCUUCAGCCACCACCCAUAGACUGCCAACCUGCAGAUCUGCAUCUCAGUUUGUUCCUGACCCCUGUUAAUUGGUGCUGCUCCUGAGAGUCUCCACCUGGUGUCUCAUCACCUUCCACCUCAGUUCAAUGGAUGUCAAACCUGAUGUUUCUCUCUGGUCCCCACCUCAGAUUCUGCUCUCCUCUACCUCUCAGUCCGAGGUAUCAUCAUCCACCACAGAUUGAUUAAUGGCUCCCAGGAAGUUAGUUACCAAGUCAUAGCACCUCCACCUCCUAUGUAUUUCUUUUUUUCCUUAAAAACUUUCAAACCUACAGAAAAGUUGCAAAAUAUGUGAGAAUAAUGAAUAUCAAUAUACCUGUUCCUUAAA